CGCUGGCGGCAGGCUUAACACAUGCAAGUCGAGCGGUAGCAGGGAGAAAGCUUGCUUUCUCCGCUGACGAGCGGCGGACGGGUGAGUAAUGUCUGGGGAUCUGCCUGAUGGAGGGGGAUAACUACUGGAAACGGUAGCUAAUACCGCAUAACGUCGCAAGACCAAAGUGGGGGACCUUCGGGCCUCAUGCCAUCAGAUGAACCCAGAUGGGAUUAGCUAGUAGGUGAGGUAAUGGCUCACCUAGGCGACGAUCCCUAGCUGGUCUGAGAGGAUGACCAGCCACACUGGAACUGAGACACGGUCCAGACUCCUACGGGAGGCAGCAGUGGGGAAUAUUGCACAAUGGGCGCAAGCCUGAUGCAGCCAUGCCGCGUGUAUGAAGAAGGCCUUCGGGUUGUAAAGUACUUUCAGUAGGGAGGAAGGUGUACGUGUUAAUAGCACGUACAAUUGACGUUACCUACAGAAGAAGCACCGGCUAACUC
rnacentral:rRNA from 1 species